UACGAAGGGGGCUAGCGUUGCUCGGAAUCACUGGGCGUAAAGCGCACGUAGGCGGCUUUUUAAGUCAGGGGUGAAAUCCUGGAGCUCAACUCCAGAACUGCCUUUGAUACUGAGAGCUUGAGUCCGGGAGAGGUGAGUGGAACUGCGAGUGUAGAGGUGAAAUUCGUAGAUAUUCGCAAGAACACCAGUGGCGAAGGCGGCUCACUGGCCCGGUACUGACGCUG
rnacentral:rRNA from 1 species